CACAUAUGACAGCUCUUCUUUUUUCCUUCUGCUUGUACCUCAGGUACCCUGAUCCACCCAGUCAAUCUACCCAGACACAGUGUGGGUGAUGGACAAUGAAAUGUUACCUUCUAUUGUAAGGAAAGUGGCUGAGAACAUUCCCCAACCCACUGCACGCUCAGGCUACAGCUGUAGCAUAGUCCUAUGGUCAGGCAUCUAUCUUCAAAAUACCUGGAGAGAGUGCAGCAGAUCAAUUGGAGAAUGGCAGUAAUGUGGGACUUCCUCCUUCUGGCAAAGCACUGCAGAAGAGAAUAGGACUACAAAAAAAAUACUGAGAAGAAAAAAUGCUAGUUCCAAUGUGUAAAAUGCAUUUUUAAAGAAAGAAAG
rnacentral:lncRNA from 1 species